rnacentral:rRNA from 1 species
GCUCGUAGUUGGAUUCCUGACCUGGGGUAGCCGGUCCGCCUUGCAAAAGGUGCGCACUGAGCGGCCUCGGUCAUCCUUGAGAAGAGCGGUCCUGGCAUUCAGUUGUCGGGGUCGGGAUUCUCGACGUUUACUGUGAAAAAAUCAGAGUGUUCAACGCAGGCUUACGCCUUGAAUACAUUAGCAUGGAAUAAUGAGAUAGGACCUUGGCGGUCUAUUUUGUUGGUUUGCACGCCGAGGUAAUGAUUAAAAGGGACGGUUGGGGUUCUUCGUAUUCAAUUGUCAGAGGUGAAAUUCUUGGAUUUAUGGAAGACGAACUGCUGCGAAAGCGUCGAACAAGGACGUUCUCAUUAAUCAAGAACGAAAGUUAGGGGAUCGAAGAUGAUUAGAUACCAUCGUAGUCUUAACCAUAAACUAUGCCGAUUCAGGAUUGGCGGUCGUUUGUUCUCGACUCCGUCAGCACUGUAUGAGAAAUCAAAAUCUUUGGGUUCCGGGGGGAGUAUGGUCGCAAGGCUGAAACUUAAAGAAAUUGACGGAAGGGCACCACCAGGAGUGGAGCCUGCGGCUUAAUUUGACUCAACACGGGGAAACUUACCAGGUCCAGACAUAGUAAGGAUUGACAGAUUGAGAGCUCUUUCUUGAUUCUAUGGGUGGUGGUGCAUGGCCCUUCUUAGUUGGUGGAGUGAUUUGUCUGGUUAAUUCCCGUUAACCAA